GUACAAAUGAAAAUCUCAAUAUAUAAAUUGACAAGUACAUUACUGAGUCCUAGUUAAAUAUUGCACCCAGCUAUUUAAUAUACAUGACAAUUUAACAUUGGCGGAUAGUAUUGAAUACCACUGGAAAAUUUUCUACUUCUCAUAUGCUUCUUUUUUCAAUUAUCCUCUAUCAAAAAGGGCACAUAUCCAAUGAGCAAAUAAAUCAACAAGUUCCUGAUAUCCAAUGAUACACUACCCGUGAAAACUGUAUUUAUAGAUUAUUAAUACAGCAAAAAUGGCAAGUUCCGGACAAUUGGUAAUUGUUGUGCAUAUACUAAUGUAGCAGAAGUAUACACAAUUACCUAGUACUCAACAAUGAUAUGUAUCCUUCAAUCUCGACGCAGUUAAUCAGUCAACCCCCGUAGUUAUUCCGAGGGGGAUCAAAAUCUAAUUAAUGUCCAAACAAUGACCAUCAGUUACGAAAAUAAUCUUAUUC
rnacentral:lncRNA from 1 species